CUCAAACCCCCCUUUUUUUUCCUUUGUUUCACGUAACCCAUUUCUCCUUCACGUGAACUGCUACCCUCAGACUUUGCAGCCGCCAGCCACCACACACCUUCCGAACCGCCGUCCCUGCGCCACCGCUGCCCAACCGCCGGUAACUCCUCCUCCUUUUCCUUCUUUUUCUUUUCUAUUUCAUUCGCUCCUUGCUGUUUCGUUCUCGUUCUCACGAUUACUUCGCUUUCCUCCUCCUCACUCGGUUCCGUUUGCUGCGACAACCGCCACCACCACCUGAUCGCCGCUGCUGAGCCACCCCCUUGCCAUGCCGCUGAGACGUCGCCCGGUACUCUCUUAUUCCUCCUCCCUCUCUUGUUUCAUUCUUCCUCUUGUUCGUUUUUUUUAACAACGGUUGUUUAUGUUUUCGCAAAGCCACCACCACCACGCUGCCACCAGCGCACCUCCGUGUGCAACCCUGCCGCCCAGCCAUGCCUCCAGCCGUGCCCUCGUCCGCUGGCAGACCUCCUCUCUCCUCUUUACUUGGAGGAGAAUUCUCUGUAGACGAGAUUUGAAAGUGUUAAAGUGGCCUAUUAGUUGUUUAUACAAGUCUCUAAGGAUCAAUAAGCAUUGUCCAUCUGCAGGUUUGAAGAUGUUGCAUCAUUGGGAUCGGGAAUAGAGAGCUUGUAUUUAGUUUUGUUUUGCU